UGCAGCCUCUGCCAGAGUCUGCAAAAAGAGCAACGUCGCAAAAAGAAGAAAAAGAGACUGAGGAGAGGAAGCCAUUAUUUUUUUCAUAAGAAAGCAAAGGCAAUGGAAGCAAAGAAGAUGAGGAGGUAGUGCAUGAAAUGAAUGAGGCUGAAACAGAGACAUAAACAGCACGCCAACGUAGACUGGCAUGAAGAGACUCCUUUCAGCCACAUCAUCCAUGACAUGGAAACCAUUGUAGGGCUUCAAAUCCUACUUGCAUUAGCAUCCUUAGUAAAAUGAUGGAAAUAAAUUAAACCUUGCACUUCUAUGGUUUAAAGAAAUCAUGCUGUGCCUUUCAUGGACAUGCAGGAAAGCUUUCUGAGAAGUUUAGUGUUACUUUGAUGUCGAGUAAUGAAAAUACAAGAUUGAAUCAAAGGCAGAAAACUAUGGUUACAUGGUUGAUCUCCUUAGCCAGGCUGAUUUCAUGGAAAAUAAGAACUUGUAACAGAGAUACAUAUAUAAGCAGAACCUAAUUUAUUUUAAGCUUUUCUUUAUUCUGGUAAGAAUCUUCUAGUAUACAGAGCUUGGGGUGAUUGUGACCAAACAAAUAAUCAACAUUUUUUUCCCUUUUCCUUCA